rnacentral:tRNA from 1 species
GUCUCGGUGGCGCAAUUGGUAAGAAUACACUUCCACAUUUCAGCAUACCAGUCAUUUACUAAUUCAUCAUAAAGGUUAGCGCGUACGACUGUUAAUCGUGAGGUUGAGAGUUCGAUCCUCUCCCGGGACG